AACACAAGACAGAGAGAUAAACAGAAGAGCAGAGGGGACAUGAUCCAGCAAAUGUGCUAACAUAGAGACUCAGGCGGUUCUUGGAAGUGUAGAGCACCUGAUCACACGGAUAGAGCAAACUGUGAUUUACCUGGAUGAGACGCAGGGAAGAAGAGUGCAGAAAAUGACCCCACUGGGAUCUUCUAUCAAGGAACAAUAAGUAGUAAGCAGGACAGCAUGUACACGAGCUGGCAUGGACUCCACAAGUUUGUGCAAAACCUGAUGAUCGCAGACAAGAAAAACUCAAGAUUAAGCAAGUGGACAGGGUGGAGCAGAAACUCUAUAUGAGCUGAAGAGUAUGUUGGGAGGUGCGGGCCACAGUCGUCAUUUUCAUGAGUCAUCGUGCUGCAAAUCCUUCCUAUGUAUCCGCUGGGGGGGCUAUGCUGACAACAUGGUGCAGAGCAACAAAUACAACCCCCUGACCUUUCUGCCCUUGAAACUGUAUGAAUAAUUCCAGCGAGCAGCAAACCUUUUCUUCUUGCUUAUUGUGGUCUUGCAGAGUUUAUGGUGGCUGCUUGGAUUCAAGAUGAAUGUGGUUUGAGGCACCGGUGUACACAUGGAUACAGGACAUAUUAUCAGAGCGAAUGGACAAAUAAAUAACGAAAGAUAGGACAAGACAGACAUCUGAAAACGUCAUCUGAGCAGGAGCGGUGGCACAGUGAUGCACAAAUUAACAAGCGGACAAGUAAUAUUCUCACUCCCGAUGGACCUGCUCCUCCUAUGCAGCACUGAGCCACAUAGUCUUUGCUAUGUAGAAACCACAGACAUUGAUGGAGAAACCAACCUGAAGUUCCGUCAGGCUCUUGCUGUCACUCAUACGGAGUUGAAUGGAGAACAAACUGAGAAAAACCUCACAGCUUUUGAUGAUGUUGUGUGGUGUGAGGAGCCAAAUGGUAACCUGCACUCCUUCAGAGGUGAAUUACACUGGAAAGGAGAGCGCCACCUGCUGGACACAGACCACCUGCUGCUCAGAGGAACUGUACUGAGAAACACAGACACAGCCUAUGGGCUGGCUUUAUACACUGCGUGGCUCCUCUGCUGCCUACCUGGGCUUCCUCACCUUCUGGGGCUACGUCAUUUUGCUCAGCCCUGCUACAGUAUGCCUAUGUCUCUUUAUAUAAUAUUUGAGGUGAUCCACAUGGUGCACUGCCUCCUGAUUGGCUGGGAUGUAGAGAUGUACUGGGAGGACAAUGAUAGCCCCACUCAAGCUCGUACUACCACCCUGAAUGAAGAACUGGGUCAGGUGGGCCACUUGCUCAGCGACAAAUCCGGCACUCUCACGCAAAACCGCCUUGUUUUUCAUCAGUGCUACAUUCCCGGCCAUAUUUACGGUGAAAUGGCAAAGGAAUUCAAGGUAAGAAUUUAUGCCAUAUUAAUGCAAAGCAUACUUUCCCAUUUGAAUCUACUGACCCAACCAAAAUGGACACAUUUCACUUUUUGUUUUCUACAAGCCACUAGACUUGAGCUGGAACUGGCUUUCAUGUGGUGGGUUGAAGUUUUCUUACCAGCGUCUGGUGGAGGAGCUGCAUGGACGGAGCAGCCCUGAGUGUCAAGGGUUCUUCGAUGCUCUGGCCCUCUGCCACAUUGUUAUGAGUGAGUGGAAGGAUAUAUCAGGCUGCCUCUCCAGAUGAGGAUGCUCUGGUGUGUGCAGUGCAGGAACUGGGCUGGGUGUUCCUCUCCCGCACAUGAGACACUCUCACCAUCAGUGACUUGGGCAUCACACGCAACUAUCAGAUCCUCGCCC